rnacentral:rRNA from 1 species
GGAUUUCUGUCGUGGUCAUCCGGCUCCGCCUGUAUAGGUGUGCGCCUGGUUUGCCCUCGGCUUUCUUCCGGUAGCCUACCGCGCUUCACUGCGUGCGUGGGUGUUUUCCGGAACUUUUACUUUGAGAAAAAUAGAGUGUUUCAAGCAGGCUUGUCGCCCUGAAUACUUCAGCAUGGAAUAAUAAGAUAGGACCUUGGUUCUAUUUUGUUGGUUUCUAGGACCAAGGUAAUGGUUAAUAGGGACAGUUGGGGGCAUUCGUAUUUAACUGUCAGAGGUGAAAUUCUUAGAUUUGUUAAAGACGAACUACUGCGAAAGCAUUUGCCAAGGAUGUUUUCAUUAAUCAAGAACGACAGUAGGGGGUUUGAAGACGAUUAGAUACCGUCGUAAUCUCUACCAUAAACUAUGCCGACUAGAGAUAGGGAAUCCAUUAGCCCAAUCUUCCCUGCACCUCAUGAGAAAUCAAAGUUUCUGGGUUCUGGGGGGAGUAUGGUCGCAAGGCUGAAACUUAAAG